UACGAAGGGGGCUAGCGUUGUUCGGAUUUACUGGGCGUAAAGGGCGCGUAGGCGGCCAGUGCAAGUCAGUUGUGAAAUCUCCGAGCUUAACUCGGAAAGGUCAACUGAUACUGCUCGGCUAGAGUGCGGAAGGGGCAACUGGAAUUCUUGGUGUAGCGGUGAAAUGCGUAGAUAUCAAGAGGAACACCUGCGGCGAAGGCGGGUUGCUGGGCCGACACUGACGCUGAUGCGCGAAAGCUAGGGGAGCGAACGGG
rnacentral:rRNA from 1 species